UACGUAGGGGGCAAGCGUUGUCCGGAUUUACUGGGCGUAAAGAGCGUGUAGGCGGCCACGCAGGUCCGUUGUGAAAACUGGAGGCUCAACCUCCAGCUGUCGACGGAAACCGUGUGGCUAGAGUCCGGAAGAGGAGAGUGGAAUUCCUGGUGUAGCGGUGAAAUGCGCAGAUAUCAGGAAGAACACCAAUGGCGAAGGCAGCUCGCUGGGACGGUACUGACGCUGAGACGCGAAAGCGUGGGGAGCGAACAGG
rnacentral:rRNA from 1 species